UACGUAGGGGGCAAGCGUUGUCCGGAUUUAUUGGGCGUAAAGCGCUCGCAGGUGGUUCGUUGCGUCGUGCGUGAAAGACCCCGGCUCAACUGGGGGAUGUCGUGCGAUACGGGCGGACUGGAGGCCAGUAGGGGGAUGCGGAAUUCCGGGGUGUAGUGGUGGAAUGCGUAGAGAUCCGGAGGAACACCAGCGGCGAAGGCGGACAUCCUGGACUGGUCCUGGACACUCAGGAGCGAA
rnacentral:rRNA from 1 species